rnacentral:lncRNA from 1 species
CAUGAGUAAAUUGGCUAAAUAUUUCUUGCAAGCUUUUAGUAAUAUUUCCUAACCCACCAGAGAUCAAGACCCAAGCGGAAGGUGAUUUAUGGAAUAUCAAUGCUGUCAUGAAUUGGUGUGGCAUUGAAAGGCUGGAGCCAUGAGGUGCCCCAGAAUUUUAUCCCAUAUUGACUGGUUAAUACUACGAAGGAUUGUCAUCAACAAAGGUUCUCGAUGAUAAAGGAAACCAUUGAAAAAAAAGAAGGAAGUGCAUCCCUUUUCUUCACAAUCAUAUCACAGCACCCACAUAACUAAUCACUGUUUUUAGAUUUUAGAAAAGAUUAUCUUAUUUAGAUCGUAUUCACUAGAAGAAAAUUUAGAACAUCUCAAUGCACCGAAUAAAAUUAAACGCUUCUUUUUUUCUUUUAUUAAAUUGCAAAAAGUGACACUUAACAUUGACAGCAUUAGCCCCACCUCAACAGCAUUCACAAGUGAUCCUUCCAAGAGAUUUUUCCAGUACAGAUCACAGUGGUAUCUACAAAGCAACAACAGUGAAUGAGCUUAAGGGCAGGAGAAAAAAGAUGUUGGGAAGAGAACAUACAACAAACGCUGAAAAUUCAGAGGAAUAUGAUUGUGAAACUCUAUGAUUCUUGGUGAUUCUCAUGCAAAGCAUAGUGCAUUUUAAUUCGCAAUUUGUUUGGUGGGUCACUCAAGUGCAAAAAUAAGCACAGGUUUUGGGCAUCAAGAAGAGUUCAAGAUAUGUCAUCAAUAUAGCAAGAUGCAGCUUUGUGAACAUGUCGUUCUGCAUACGUCAAUCUUUCACCUUCAGCAGCUGGUUUUCAAAAAUUUAUGUGAAAAAUCUGAACGAGAAAAAUCAGUUUGUAUCAAGCAUCGAAUUGAGGAACCGGCUUCCCCUUAUUUGGUGGGUGCUCAUAACUCCUCAAACCUCCAGAGCUGGUGAAGCAGCAUCCUGAGUUGGAAAAGAAGGCAACGUUAAAAGGUGAACGAUUUGGCGCUUGAAAACCAUUGGAAGAGCAACAUUGUAGGUGAAAAUGAACAAAUCAAAACAUGCAUACAGGUAAAGAACACCAUUUUAACCAUAUAUUAUAAAUUUAGGUUCAGAACCAAUUUUUCCAAUAUGAUAUUACCCCACAACAUAACAUUCUCCUCUGAACUCUGCUUAAUCUCAGCAUAGCUCAUCCAUCCUUACUUUUCACAUUGCAAUGCAUGUACCGAACUCCAGUGGAGCCGCAUCAACAAUCCAAAAAAAUAAUCACCUUUAGGGAAUGGUGCGAAAGAUUUCCCACAGCCCAUCUUCACGAAUUCUGCAUCAUCCGAGAGAACAGGAUUGCCCCCAGAAUCACUUCCCCAGAAGAAAGCACCACUUCCAUCAACAUCCUGCAUGGUUCAGAGAAUAGAAAGGAUUAGAUAUAGAUUGCAGGUGGAGGGAACGAUUGAGAGUGAUAUCCCAGAACGAAACCAAUGAACAUUAUUAUUACUCACAGAGUCCUGAAAAGCGGGUUUUAGAAGAGCUGUCGAAGAGCACAAAACCAAACUUCCUGCUGAUAUCUCUCACAACUUGAUCAGCAGGGUAAGGCCUCCGAUCCCUCAGAGUUCUAUAAGCUUCUAUGACAAUCAUGACCUCAUUAGCGGUUUUGUUCUAUUCAUAUUGCUGCUUACGAAGAGCUACAUUCUCUGUGUCCUUGGAACAAGCAGAAGAUAUCAUUGACAACGGCAAGCAAUCUGCCACACAGGGUAAGACAUGUCAAAUCUCGAUGGGGGAUAAACUAAUCGAGAAGAGAAGACAGUAGUGCAAUCCCCGUCAAUUAACAAUCCAAUAAAUUUCAUUUUCUGGCUUUCAAAAUGAGCUAGAGACUCGAGUUCCAAUAUCAGUCUGUAUUACGCAUCGAAUUGAGGGAGCAGAAUCAAAAUUGAUGCCUUGAAAACCAAAAACAUACCCGAACCCAAGAAAACUUACAUUACAUCAAAGAAUGAAUCCCGGCAGUUAACAAAUCUAUCAUCAUGGCUCGGGCAUGAUCGAUUUUACUUCAUUGGAUCCGAAUGCUAUCAAUGCUGAUGAAAGGGAUUUCUUGAAGGGAGAGAGAGAGAGGGCCAUCCUCUGGCAAGUACCCCAACUUCACAUCCAUAUAUGAAAAAAAAUUGUCGGGAUUGAGGCCCAAACAGAAACAGAGGAGGCUGAAUUAAUUGUUGUUCGAAAGAGCAUUGCAGUGGCUAAAGAGAAGAGCCGGCCCAAGGUAGUAGUGGACAUGGAUGCAGCUGUGGCAUACAAGAAUAUCAUCAUCAUCAUCAUCAUCAACUUUCGCAAGCCAGUGCACUUGGAGACUAAACGAAGCUCUUGCUGGAUAUUCAAGCAGCUAAUUAUCAAUUUUUCAGCUCUGAAUUUCAGUCGUACUUCACGAAAAGCAAACGUCUGCGCGCAUCGGAAGAAAUUACUUCGUAUUAAGCAUCGAACUAAAGAACAGAAACACGAAAUCGAUGCAUUCAAGACGAAAGGAAUUACCUGAACCCUUACAAAUCUGACCGUAGAUGGAAGGGAUUGAAUCGCGGCAGUUAGCAAAUGAAAGCGAAAGUGGAUCGAUUUCACUUCAUCGGAUCUGAGAACCCAAUCGAUGCGGAUGUCGAGGAUUUCUCGGAUUUCCGGAAAUUCAUGCGGAGCAUCUCCACGGGAAAGUAUCGAUUUGUAUUGAGCAUCGAGUUGAGGAAUCAGAAUGGAAACCGAUGCCUUCAAGACCAUAAACUUACCCAAACCCUAGAAAACCUGACCGAACCAGGUUUAUUGGAUCCGAACGUCAUCAAUCUCGAUGUAAGGGAUCUCUUGGAUGAGGGGCCAAUAGUCGCCCGUGUCUUUUGAGCAUCUAUCUCUCAGAAUCUCGCAUCUCUCUAUAUAAAGUUCUUGGAGGGAGGGAGGGAGAUCAUCCUCUGGCAAGUCCCUCAACUUCGGGCAAUUUACAAUCUCUAAAGAUUCGAGAGAGGAGAGAUGGUUGCGAAGACCGUUUGAUAAUCUUUCCAUGUUCCUCAUAUUAUAAAUGGAAAGUUGCACAAGAGAGGAAGGAAAGAAAAGACUCCAAGCAUCCUCGUCGUCUUCUUCCGAAGGAAACCCCACCAUGUCUCCCUCCGCUCCUAUGCAACCUCCGUCUAUAGUAAGAUUAGUGAGGGAUGUGAGCAUGGGCAAGCCCCAUUCUCUCAUUGGUUGCUUCCAAUUAUCGCAGAAAGUAACAUUAAACAAAAGCAAAUUGGGAGGAAAACCUCCUUCGGGCAAGCAUUUGAUAUUUUCACAAUCCGCAAUGAAUAUCCACCAGAGAGACAUAAGAUGAUGCCACUCCUUUGGUAGAGACUUCAUCUUAGGAACAUGUACAAGGGUAAGGUGCAUGAGGGUGAUGGGAAGGGAAGGGAAGUUUUCUAUCUCCAAUGCCGGACACUCCUGUAUAUCCAAUUUAGUGAGAUGGGAUAAUGUGAGAAGGCACCUUGGUAGACUUAUCAAAUUCUCACAUCUAUCUAUAGUUAAAGAGCCCAGCGAUUCUGCUAUGGCAAACGGAAACGAUAUCAAAGAAUCACAUUCACUCAUAUUAAGAAAUUCAGGUUGAGAUAUCGAAUUAUUGUUGCUAUGGUCAUCUUGAGAAGUUAUUAUUCUCGAGAUUUUUGGACAAUUCUCAAUCCUCAAAUGUCUUAGUGUGUACAACUUGCUUGGAAGCUUUUCUAAACUCGUGCAAUUUCUCAAUUCCAUCUUUUCAAGGUUGCAGGAUAGCUCCAUUUCUCCGUCUCUAGCCACAAAAGAUGUGAAUUGAGGACAACUAUCAAUGGCUACACUUUGAAGGCAAGCAAGAUUUUGCAUCUCAUUUCCAUUUUGCCACAAGUAGUUUAGCUUGUCACACUGCCUUAUAUAAAGCUCCUUUAGCUUAACCAAGUAGCUCGUAAAGCCAUGAUCAAAGCAAACAAGUUCAACAAGAUUCUCAAUUUUGAGACUGAUCAAAGAAGUUAGGUUGGCGAAGAUUUUUAAGAUCUCUUUGUUACAAUCCUUAAGGUAUAACUCACAAAGAGAUGGGAGGCAAAUCACUUUGGUUGAGUUAUUCAAAUGCGGGCAUGAAUGAAUUUCAAGCUUCCUGAGAAGAUCAAGUUGACCAGGCAAUGUCCCAACCAAUGAAUGACAACUCCGAACAACAAGAUGCUGAAGACAAGAGAAUGGGACAUCUUCUUCUCGACCCCCAACACAAUGAGACCANNNNNNNNNNNNNNNNNNNNNNNNNNNNNNNNNNNNNNNNNNNNNNNNNNNNNNNNNNNNNNNNNNNNNNNNNNNNNNNNNNNNNNNNNNNNNNNNNNNNNNNNNNNNNNNNNNNNNNNNNNNNNNNNNNNNNNNNNNNNNNNNNNNNNNNNNNNNNNNNNNNNNNNNNNNNNNNNNNNNNNNNNNNNNNNCUAUUUUAGAAUAAGAAAGACCAUCCAACCAUGAGGGGAAUCUUGCACCACCAUAAUGCGAGAUAGAGAGACGUUCAAGAUUAGUGUGAGGUCGUAGAGAGUCAAGCACCAGUUCUUCGCGCUUCCCAUUAUGCAAAUUUCCAAAAUUUUCACCCCAAUCCAAGAAUAAGUUGCUAAGGCCUCUCUUUCCAAAUAAAUUAGCAUCAACCGCAUCUCUGACUUCUUCUACCUUUUGCAAUUCUGCUAUGAACAAUUCUCCUUGAAGAUGUUGCAAGUUCUUUAACUCCUUUAAUAGCGACCCUUUCUCUGGUCCUACUACAAACUUGGGGAAGAUGAUUAUAUUCUUCAAAUUACUCAUACCCAAAGGCAUCUUUUUGAGACUCCCUGUAUCUCUAAUGUCAAGAAAUUGUAACCUGACCAAUUUUGUGAUGCUUGUAGGCAACAUAGAAAGCAUUUGACAACCUCUUAAGAUCAAAGCUUGUAAUUUGCACAAGGCGCCAAUUGACUCAGGUAGCCUUUUGAUAUUGGUGUAUGAAAGAUUGAGAUAUCGAAGAUGUUUUAAAUCACAGACACAAUUCGGUACCUCUACGAUGUUACAAUGGCAUAAUGAUAAUACUCGCAAGUACUUCAAGUUUGUUAACAAGUCAUGCAGCACCUUUCCAGAAAUAAAAAUUCCUUUUUUAUCAUUAAAUUGAAUAGUCAACAGCAUCAAACUUCUUAGUACCUUCAUUGUAGCAUAUGCUCUCAAGCUUUUUGACGUAACACAUUGUGAGACAAAUGAUGCACAACGAGCUUUCUCUUUAAAAGUGGCAUCAUCUUCAUCACUCACUACCUGAGACUCCUCUACCAGAGACUCCCUAGAGGUAAAGCAUGUCUUAUCCGCAAUUGACUUCGCUAGAUCAUUCAAAAGAUCAUGCAUCAAAAACUUCGAUGUGUCAAUAUUAGAUUGUUGAAAAAAGGAUCUAGAUACUAACUCAUCGAAGUAUUUCCUUCCUGAUCUCAAGAUAUUCUCUUUUGCUUUUCGUCCAUCUAAAAAGCCCUCCGUUAUCCAUAAGAGCACCAGCUCGUCCCUCUCAAAUUCGUAGUCCUUUGGAAAUACUGCACAAUAAGUAAAACAUCUUUUCAAAUAAGAAGGGAGAUGGACAUAACUCAAUUUCAAAGCUGGAAGAACCUCAUCGUUUUUUGCCGAUGCUACAUCCCACAUUCUGUUAUUUAAGAUAUCUUCCCAUUCAUCUAGAUUCUCUUUAUUACGUAGGAGACCGCCCAAUAUCUUCGCUGUCAAAGGUAAACCUCUACAUUUUUCAGCUAUUUUCUUGCCUACUAUUUGCAGAUGUGGGUGCCUCUCGAAAUUUCUUGCUUCCAAAGCAUGAUAAGCUAAUAAGUCGGUACAAUUAUCAACAGACAACUCCUUCAAAGAAUAUGGCGAAGCUCCCGUUAUGGAAACCACAGAAUGGUUGCGUGUCGUGAUGAUGAUCUUGCUUCCCUUAGCCCCUGCUUCAAAUGGCUUUAAGAGGGAAGUCCAUUCUCCAUACUUCUCAUUCCAAACAUCAUCUAAGACCACAAGGAACUUCCUUUCGGAUAGAUCAUCUUUCAACUUAACUUGCAGCCAAUUAAGAUCUUUGCCCUCGCAAGACAACCCAGUGAUCGAUUGUAAAAUAGUCUUCGUUAUGUGGAGAACAUCAAAAACAUCUGAAACACAAACCCAUGCUUUCCUCUCGAAAUAGCUACUCAUUUUGGGGUCAUUGUACAGCCGUUGAGCCAUGGCCGUCUUUCCAACACCACCCAUCCCAACUAUGGGGACUAUGCUUAGCCUAGCAUCAGAAUUUUCGACCUCACUGAUUAAUAGUUCCAAUAUCUCUGCUUCUUCCUUCUCCCUGCCAAAAAAUCGAGUCUCCGGCAAAGAAGUGCUUUGGAGCCUUUUGUUGGUGUGGUUGGAUAUGUCCACAGCAUUCUCUCUUAAGCUUAGAUGAGCUUUCCUGGUGAUAAUCUUUUUCAACCUACCAUUGAUUUCUUGUACCUUAGUUUCAAACAGGUUCAAGCACAGGUUCGAGUUCGAUCCGGAGGAUCCAUCUUGGCCAAAGAAAAGGGAACAACCUUUUCUUUUGACCUUUGCUUGUGCUGGAUUCUGCCCCGGAACAACCUUCAAUCAUGAACUCAUCAAGCAAGUCUUCCAUGUCAUAGGCCAAGUCCCUAACAUCAUCCAACCACGACUUCACUAGACGGUUUUCGCCUAACUGCUUGUCCUCUGCAUCAUCCAACACUAUAUUGAUUGUUUCCAGCAUCCCCUUCCACUCAUCGAGUGGGGCGAUGCUGAUUCCUUCUCGUUGGGCAUAGUCCAAUCCCAAAGAAGCAAACUUGCUCAAGAGGACCUCAAAGAGGGAACUCGAAAAGAUCUCUCCAAUGGCCGUGGGUGAAUCAGUCUCUGAAAAGAAAAACAAGGGCAAUGAAGAAGCUAAAUGACAGUGAGCUAAUGGAGAGAGAAAACUAUAAAGUCCAAGAAGACCAGAAUUGUUUGCCUACCUAAAAGAUCGAACAAAGACGAAGACUUUUAAGGACGAUUUCUGUCCACAAGUGCUCAUUUCAUCUCUUCCAUUCGUAUUUUUUUUUUUUUUUUAUAGUCAAAGCCCAAAUAUUUGUAGUUUCCACAAUCAUAUUUUCAUUCAUGUAAUUUAACCAUAAACUAAGGAAUACCAAGGCUUUUGUGGACAUCAUGUUUUUUUUUUUUGGUCUAGAAAGUGAAGCAAAAGUCAAAAGGGAAGGCAAUAAAAUUCAAGAAGGUCAAUACUUUUUAGGAUGCAGAUGGCUUUGUUGCUUACAGGUAAAACAACAUCUAGAACUUGAUCACACAAAAUAUCCACAACAAAAAUCGACAUCCGCAAAAGUAUAAUAUUUUGAUGAAACAAAUGGUGCAAUAAAAAGGAAGUGACAUUGGACAUCUAGAAUAUGCAAUCUCAGCAUGUUCCUGAUUGGCUAACCCCCUGAGAGAAAGGAAGCAGUUUAAGGUCAUGCUCGGGACCGAUAUAUUGAUCAAGUUCUAGAUGUUAUUUUAUUUGUACCCAUGGCUUGAUUUAAAAGUUAAAUAUUUUGAUGAAAGAAACGGUGCAAUGAAAAGGAAGUGAUAUUGGACAUAUGGAAUAUGCAAUGAUGCUCACCAUGUUCCUGAUUGGCUAACCCCCCGUUGAUUGUUUAAAAACACAUCAUAUGUUAAAUUUUGAUAAAAUAAUUUGGGAAUAUGUGAGGAUCUAACGUAACCAUAGUAGCAGUGUAGAUUAAUCGAGACAGACCGUGUGAUGAUGGUGGGCCUAUUGGAUUUGUUGACGCCUCUGGAACUGGCGAAUGAACGAUUGUUGCCUCAAAAAUGUGAGAGUCGCUUGAAUGCUGUAAUGCGGUCGAGGGAUCAAUGACCAUUGGAGUUCGCGAAGGAAACUGACGGAUAUCAUUCUCAUUUUCCUUGUCAGACGUUAGGGGAAGUUGACCAGGAUGCUGGACAGUGUUCGUCGAACUAGUAUUGCCGCGUACAGGAACCACUUCGUCUAUACACGGUUGACCACAAUCCAGCAAACGAUUUGCGCCGUCCACAUCAAGGGAUGAAACAAUUUGUAACGAUGAUCCCACUGUUGGAUUAUGCAGUUCAUUUGUUUGUAUUUCCUCAAAAGUGUUUACAAUUGCCUCACGAGAUUCGGGAAGAUUCUCCGGCAGCGAGUGGUCAAGAUUUGACCAAUAUGUUGGAUGUAGCAGUGAAUCUGGAGUGAUUCCAUCUGCAAUAUGUUCAUCUAAGCUUAGAUAUUCUGUGACAGACAUACUGCUGCAAUGGACCUCAUCAUUUGGGGAUGAUGAUAGCCCUCUUGCAUUUUGUUCUUCCGUCUCUGAUUCAAGAUGAGUAGGUAGCUCAAGAAGCGUUUGUAGCUCACUAAAACCAAGACAAGAUGAAGCCGACGAGUCCAUCGGAAGUUGCUGGAUAGAUGAAGCAUUUUCAUUUCCAUGUGCUACAUCCGACCUUCGGUUCGAUGGAUCGNNNNNNNNNNNNNNNNNNNNNNNNNNNNNNNNNNNNNNNNNNNNNNNNNNNNNNNNNNNNNNNNNNNNNNNNNNNNNNNNNNNNNNNNNNNNNNNNNNNNNNNNNNNNNNNNNNNNNNNNNNNNNNNNNNNNNNNNNNNNNNNNNNNNNNNNNNNNNNNNNNNNNNNNNNNNNNNNNNNNNNNNNNNNNNNNNNNNNNNNNNNNNNNNNNNNNNNNNNNNNNNNNNNNNNNNNNNNNNNNNNNNNNNNNNNNNNNNNNNNNNNNNNNNNNNNNNNNNNNNNNNNNNNNNNNNNNNNNNNNNNNNNNNNNNNNNNNNNNNNNNNNNNNNNNNNNNNNNNNNNNNNNNNNNNNNNNNNNNNNNNNNNNNNNNNNNNNNNNNNNNNNNNNNNNNNNNNNNNNNNNNNNNNNNNNNNNNNNNNNNNNNNNNNNNNNNNNNNNNNNNNNNNNNNNNNNNNNNNNNNNNNNNNNNNNNNNNNNNNNNNNNNNNNNNNNNNNNNNNNNNNNNNNNNNNNNNNNNNNNNNNNNNNNNNNNNNNNNNNNNNNNNNNNNNNNNNNNNNNNNNNNNNNNNNNNNNNNNNNNNNNNNNNNNNNNNNNNNNNNNNNNNNNNNNNNNNNNNNNNNNNNNNNNNNNNNNNNNNNNNNNNNNNNNNNNNNNNNNNNNNNNNNNNNNNNNNNNNNNNNNNNNNNNNNNNNNNNNNNNNNNNNNNNNNNNNNNNNNNNNNNNNNNNNNNNNNNNNNNNNNNNNNNNNNNNNNNNNNNNNNNNNNNNNNNNNNNNNNNNNNNNNNNNNNNNNNNNNNNNNNNNNNNNNNNNNNNNNNNNNNNNNNNNNNNNNNNNNNNNNNNNNNNNNNNNNNNNNNNNNNNNNNNNNNNNNNNNNNNNNNNNNNNNNNNNNNNNNNNNNNNNNNNNNNNNNNNNNNNNNNNNNNNNNNNNNNNNNNNNNNNNNNNNNNNNNNNNNNNNNNNNNNNNNNNNNNNNNNNNNNNNNNNNNNNNNNNNNNNNNNNNNNNNNNNNNNNNNNNNNNNNNNNNNGCUGACCAGAUAGACUUGAUAUCGAUGCAAAAUCCUUGAAUCCUCUUAACAGAGCCGAACCACCUGAGUUCUGUAUGCCCAAAGUACAGAGAUCUCUCUCCUUCUUUCACCAGGAACAAAGCACAAGUAGAGAGAGAUGCACUAGAUCUACACAGAGGAGAAUAACAAAGGAAAAUUGGAUUAUACUUAUCAAGUAAAGGAGGAGAACUUCUGGAUUAUCUAAGCAGCAGAACACGCCUUGGAAGGAGAAUCUCAAGCGGCACUUACGCAUUAAGCAUGGAUCAAGAGGAGCAUCAAGAGUACAGGGUAAUGGUCUUCCACAUAUUUGUCGUCAAAAUCAUGCGGCGAGCGCCGACCCGCUCGGGGGCACGUAGGCAACGAGGCGACCGAAAGGAACCGCGGCGAAACCGGAGAAGCGAAAACCGGAGGCCCCGCAAGAAAAGGCGCUCGAACAAGAUGUGAGGGAUCUGCGGGAAUAACACACGGGAGUCUCCUCCUCUCUCCUCCUCUCUCCCUACCUCCUUCCCUUUCUGGUCUCUUGUCUCUGUUGGGCGUACAGGGGAGGUGGGUCCCGCCUCGAGCGUGCGUAGGACCACGGUCGAGCCUCGGCACGUGCGAGCCCCCUGCGUCGGUGCGCCCUUUGGUUGCCGAAAAAGCAAAAAUUAUUGAACGAAGGAACUGUACAUUCCUCUCUUGCUGGGUCGCCCGCCCCUUGAAUCUCGACUCCCCUGCCUUUUUCUCUUCCUCGCUUUUGUUUUUCUGUCCCACCGUACAUUUGUUUUUCUGUCCCACCGCACACUACAUUUCCCGGGCUUCUACAGGCACGAUUCUGGACAAAACAGGUCAGGCUGCAAUGCCAAUGUCCAAGAAAAUUCUACGGUGCAGUCUAACAAUUUGCGAAACUAGUUUUUAUAUGGAGUCCGGAAUCAUUGAUAAAAAUAAAUAAAUUUCACCCGAGAGAUGAUUUAAAAAGAAAUAUUAACUUACUAAUAUUUAAGGAAAAUUAUUAUCGAUACCUAAAUUCUUUGCUCAAAGACCUCAUUCACAUUUUCAUGAAAAUAUGAGAGAUCAAAUCUGUCGAUAAUUUGACUCGAGAUAAAAAUACAUUUGUAAUGCCGCAUCCUCAAUCUCUUUGCAUUAUUUCACGUUUUCUAAUAAAAUUACGAAUUGUUGUGAACCUUAUACGGCCCGAUCCAACCCUGGAAAAUAAGUGGGGAAUGGACACCUUGAUGAGAAAGUUUAUAUGAUAUAACCUGAAGGUUUUGCAAUAGAUGAUUCAGGUAAGCUUGUAUGUAAAUUGAAAAAUGUUAUUUAUGGCCUUAAACAAGUCUUUAGACAACGGUACUUGAAGUUUUAUGAUAUUAUCAUUCCUUUCGGUUUUGUUGAGAAUAAAGUAGAACACUGCAUAUACUGUAAGGUCAGUGAAAGGAAAUUUAUUUUUCUCAUAAUUAAUGUAAAUGAUAUCUUGCUUGCAAGUAGUGAUGUUGAUUUACUGCAUCACAUCCCUCAUCUUCCAUCCAUAUGCGAAUAUCUUGUUUUCCAUUAAUUUCUUGGCAUUACUAGUAAAAUUUACGAUACUAUAAUUUUCAUCCAACCCUUUUCAUGUUCAUUCAUAUUGUGAUUUUUCAUCAUUAAUCUCUAUUGUACUUGUCCAUUAGAAUUAUGGCUAGAUUUCCAUAUAUCUUUUCAAAAUUAAGUUUAAUAAAAAGAAAACAAAAAAAAAAGCAAAGAGAAAAACUAAAAGAAAAGUACAGCAAUAAACUUAAAAAAAAAAAAAAUGCAGGAAUGGGGCGAGAGAAAGGACCACCAGUCUCGCGAUCGUUGCCCCGCCGCUGGGCCGUCAACUUCCAUCGUACCACCUUAUAGUCAAAUUUGUAAACAAUAUUUUUCGUCAAAUGCUUUUCUUAGAGCGGUUUUGGAGUUAGGGAUAAUGACACAGUAAGCUCCGCUUUUGCCCAGCUUACAAUCGAAGACCUAAACCAUUUUUUAAGUGAUAUUUGUUCUACAAACUCAUCCUUUUCGAUUCAUUGCUUGGUCUCACUUCAAUAGUUUUUUUUUUUUUUCAUGAUUUGAUGUAAAAGAGAAUAGGAAAUAGUUUCGUUAAUUUCACGCUAUUGCAAAAAGAUUUUUGCGGCUAAAUGUCAAGCGCAGUUGGAGACUAUAAAGUGCUCAAUGUUAAGUUCUUUAGAUUUUCUUCUUGCACAAUUUUGAUCAUAAAAUUCAAAAAAUGACGUAAUAUUCUUGCCCCCCUUUUUGGCCAAUUCCAUUGCUUUCCCUUUGAUCUCCUCACCUAAAUCAACACGAGUAUAUGCUUAGAUAGCUUGGUACACACGUGCAUGUAAUUGGAGAUUUACGUUCCAUUUGUUUUGAGAAAAAUAAUGAUUGGUAAACCAUUUUCCUGAAAAUGAUUGCUUGUAUCUUUUAUAAAAAUGAACAAACCAAAUAUAUAUUUAUCGUUCAUGAAAAUUUUUAGAUAUAGGUUAUUGUGAACAGUAAAAGCAUUUUUAAUUGACUAAUUAUUUUGAUCAAAACAAGCUAUCAUCUAUAGAAAAAAAAUUUCUAAAUCAUUCAUUUUUCGUAGAACAAACGGAAUCUUAAUAUAUUUGUAAGUCUAAGAAUCUUUCUUUUUCUCCCAAUCGAAAUAUUUUAGUGGAUUAUCAAACAUUUGAUUGAAUAUAGAUUCUUUAUAUGUAUUUGAUUUUCUGUCGAAUGGACAUAAUGUUAAUCAAUAAUAUUAUUAUCACAUGUAAUCCUUUGGGCACUCAUAAUUUAAAACUUUAUCAUGUUUUCUUUUAUUUAAUUGAAGAAACUGGCACAUUUUUAUGUUCUUUAUUUAUCUGUCUGUUCUACAAAUUGAAACUAACUUGCCUAAAUAGUCUUUUCUGUAGAUAAUAGUUUGUACAUUUUUUUGAGCUAAAAAAAUUUUCCUUGAUUUUCUUCAUCAUGGAUUACUAUAAGUCGUUCAUUAAUGAUAGUUGUAAAGUCUAGAUAAUUGUCCAAAAAAUUCUAGCUUUCUAGCUUUAUUGUAUAGCGGUCAAUUCAAUAUUAAAUUUUUUAAUUUGGCCAAGUUAGUUUUAAUAUGGCAUGAUCAUCAAUUAAGCGAUUUCCAGUCAAAUCAUCUAAAGGUUUAGAAAAGUUUAUGGCUGACUGAAUUGUAGUACAACAAAUUUAUAAAUUUUUGGAUUAUUUUUUGUGAAGUCACGUACAUAUGUCAAAAAUAUUGAAGUAGUCUUUUUUGGGACAAGGCUACAGCACUCAAUCAUUCAAUUUUGGGUGCCAUUCACAUGCGCAUCAGUGAUUAAAGGAAUGAAAAUGAAGUACUUUUUGUCCACAAGUGCUUCUUUUGUAAUAUUCAGAGAACAUCCCGAGAGACUUUACUGGACCGUGUGCUUUUUUAUCUGGAAAGUAAAACAAAAGGGGAUAAGUACACUAAUGGUGCCAUAAGUUGUGUACGGCGCUCACUUUGGUGCCAAAAGUUUCCAGGCGUUCCUUCGCUUUUCACAUCCCUCCUUUAUCUAUCCCUAUGAGAAUUCUCUUUUUCCAUUACUAGAAGAACUUCCAUGUGCUAUGUCUGAAUUAAAUUCUAAUUUUUUUCUUUUUUCAAAUUUGUCUCAAUUCUUGGCGUCCAUUAAAAAAUUGCCAUGUUAUAAUGAUUUUAUUGACGUGAUCUGCUUACCCUACAAAUUGGGUGAUGUGUAGAGAGUUUUUGUUGGCUUAGACAAUCUUAGCAUCUCAGUCUCUACUAACGUGGCAACACCUCAAGAUGCUAUAUUGGACACCAAUAGGAACAUUUAACAACUAUUUAACGGCGUUAGCAUCAUGUUAAUAUUUUCCUUCCAUAAUAUGAAUAAAGGCCUCACAUUGAUCCACAUGAAAAAUUUGAGAUAAUUGAUUGAAUGAAAAAAACUUUAGGUACCUAUCGCAAAAUGGGUAAUAAUUCAAGUACUUGCGAUGUUAUCAUCCCAAAAAGUUUAUUAUACAAUCAUUGGUCUAGGCUCAAAUCUCAAACAUACUUUUGUUUACACGGUAUUUGUUUCACAAACUCAUUCUCUCCAUUCAUUGCUUGGUCCUUUAAUAAUUUUCUUUUGUGAGAUUAUUCAUUCUUUCGUGUGAAAGAAAACGCGAGAUAGUUCUGUUAAUUUCACACGCCAAAAUAUUUUAGUGGCUAAAUGUCAAGCACAUUGAGAGACUACAAAGUGUUUUUAAACACUUUUUGUGGUUUUUUGUUCCUGGGAACAAAAAAGGAACAGAAACGCGUUUGGGUGCGUUUAUGUUCAUUUUUUGUUCUUUUGUUCCCAGGAACAAAAAAGAAACAGAAACAAGAAACACAAAAUUUGUGUUUCUUGUUUCUGAAACACAAUUGAGAAACACUUUUUUAUUUUUUCUUCUUUUUCUUCUUAUUUUCUUUCUUUUUUCUUUCGCCGGUCGCCGGCCUCGGCCAUGGCUGGCGACCGGCCAAAAGAAAAAAAAAGAAAAAAAGGAAAAAAUAGAAAAAAUAAAAGAAAUAAAAAAAUUAUACAAAUUUACCAAACGUGUUUCUAUUUAUUUUUUGUUCCCGAAACAAGUUUACCAAACGCGUUUUUUUUGUUCAGAAAUUGUUCCCAGGAACAGAAACACUUUUUUUUAUUUAUGUUCCCUAGAACAAUUUUUAAAUAGAAACGCAAAUAAACGCACCCUAAAUGUCAAGCACAUUGAGAGACUACAAAGUUCUCGAUGUCAAUUUCCUUUGGAUUUUCUUCUUGAAUCAUCUGAUCGGAUCAUCAAAUAUUUCAUUGAAGGUUGAUUUUCUUUCGGUUGGACAUCAUACUAAUAAGAUUAUCAUCACAUGUUUGACCCGCAAGAGAUAAAAUUGAUACAACAAAGAAUAUAUAGGAGGCCAACGUAAACGGUCAACGGCUACUUAAGCGUCAGUGUCAUGUAGACAUUUUUCGUUUGCGAUCAAUGGAGGUCUCCUGUUGACCCACAUUCAAAAUGUCGAGGUGAUUGAUUGAAUGAAAAAAAAAAAAACUUUAGAUAGUUGAUUGCCAGCACAUAGGUAAGAAAUUUUAUGGACUUUUUGCUUCAACCACUCGCAUGUAAAAAGGGCCUCUCUCUCUUUUCCCUAUUCAGCCAGAUCCCAAAUGCUUGAAAUAAGGCAAAAUCAAAUUAUAGCCAAAAAUAUUCUUUAUAUAUACAACGCAAUUGUUAAGGAUUAGUUUAAACUUGCAAAGUUAUACAAAUAUUUUAACAGCAUUGAAAUACUGUCAUCCAUUAAAUUUUGAUGCUCUUCACUGGCAUUAUGGUCAGUAUUUUAUAUAUUUUCUUCUCUUUUAAUAGUCAAUAACUUCACGAAUUCAAUAAUUUUUUUUUAUUUUGUGAAAAAAUAAAAAUGGAAAAUCGAUAUUACUUUUAGUUGAGGCCUCCAUGUACCAAAUUAGUGCAUUUGUCAAUUUUAAUUUUUUUUAUGUAGGCACUUAUGUUUGGUUCAAGCAUGCCAAGUUACGAGGUUUGAGUGAAAUUUGAAAACAAUUAACCAUAGAAACAGUUCAUUUUUGCUAAUUGCUUAUUUUUAAUUUCAUGUGAUCUAAAAAUAUGUGCGCAAUACUCAUAUGUCUAGGUCUGUGCGUAGCACAGAUAGGGACAGUAUUAAUUUUCAUAGUUUUUGAAUUUCAUAAUUAAAGGACCUCACUAAUUGGGGUCAAAUUCAAAUAUAUUUUAGAUUUCAUAAACAAGAUGUUUUCUCACUUGCUAAUAAAAAUAAUUAAUAGGACUCGUUAAUGAGUAUGCACACAUAUAUAUUGAUACCCAUUUAUGCAUGGGCAUAUAAUCAUCGUGUGUUCACUUGUAAAAUUAAAUAUUUCAUUUUAGGAAUUCAUGGGCAAUAAUUGAAAUUUUCCAGAACUUAUUGAUUUUUUUCUAUUUUUCGCUUAGUUCCAUCUCAUUUAAAGCAAAAGUUAGCUUCAUCAACGGCAGGCAUUUCACAACGUUCGAGCUCGUCACUGGAAAUUUCAGCGAGGGGCUCAACUUUAGCAGCACAAGUGCCGACCGCAAAGUUCAAGCCCUUCUUUUUCACCUUUGACUUCAUAGACGCAGUUUUGUCGAUCAACCCAUCUUGCUUUAGUGUCGCUGGAACAACUUUAAAUCAUUUAGAAAAAGAAAGGGGCCUCUUGUCUGCCAUUAUUGGUAGAAGAAGAUAAGAAGAAACAAGAUAAAGGUGAAGCGUGCAAGCUUGAUGGAGAUGGUCAGGAAGGGGACCCAAAAUUUGGAAUAAUUUCGCCCUUUUUGCAUUAGAAUUGCGAAAGGAGUCUUUCCAUCUACACACCAAAGGCAACCCAACCAAAUAAAAAGGCUAAAGUACCUCGGCGGUAGAUGCUUCCGAGCCAGCAUACAUUACCUUUCCUUUGAGAUGAAGCAAGAAACGAUGCUGGACCUCUUGGCGAAACAUAUUUCCUGUACCUUACCUCGGUAGAAAGAAACAACGAAUGUCGCAUUAAUAAUGGUACGAGGAAGAUAACAGAUGCUGUCCUAAUUCUGUGAGCUUUUGUUCCAAUGGAGGAUGAUCUUCCUUAUGGCGAAGCUAUACCGAAUAUGUUAAGUAAUGAUGUUGCUUCUGCUUAAUUGCUAGAGCAGUUCACGAAACAAAUGUGAUUUGCCAUGACACGGCAACUUUAAGCAACAAUGAUCAGUAGAUCCCAAGUGCAGUUCAUUCAAUCUUCUGAUGACCGAAUCCAAAGUCAUUACCACUUUCUUCGAGUUCUCUCUCAAGAGGUUGGAACAUGUCAUAACAAUGCUGAAUAUUAACAGAUAUGUUAGCUAUAUUUUCUUGAGAAAAUAAUGCAAAUGGUCCUCAAAGUUUAGCCGAAUUUGCAGUGUAGUUUCUAAACUUUAACUCGAUGUGCAACGUCGUCUUUAAAUUUUUAAUUUAUUCAAUUUGGUCCCUAAACUUUUUGCACAUGUUUAAUUUAGUCAUUGCAUUGUUCUUAAACUAAAAUUAAUGGAAGAAUGACAUUGACCAUUUUCAUAUAAAUGGAUCAGAAGAUAGUUUUAUUUAAUAAAACUAGCAAAAGUACAUACUAGUUGCGUGUAAAGAUUAACAUCCAAAGAUUUUGCAAAAUUCAGAUUAUUAAUUCAUGUAAAGUUAUUUAUACAAUAUGAGGAAAUUGUAUCAAUGUACAUUUACGUGGAAAGAGAAACAUAUCAAGAUUUGGAUUUUUUGGUAAAAUUUUUUAUAAGAUGGAAAGAAUUCAAAUAUUUAAGAUCGAAAUGCAUGAGAGAAUAUAACAAAAUUAUUGAUGAACAUAUUGAGCAAGGUGAUGCUGAUCCAUCACUUUACACAUAGUCCAAUGCCAAAAAACUCGAUUUUGUUGAACAAAAGAAGGAACCGAGAAAGAUCUCUCCAAUGGCCACGAGCGAAUAGUCCAUUGUAGAAGUUACGGCAAAGCAAAGUGAUGAUGAGCUAAUGGAGAGAGAGGACCAUAAAGUCCAAGAAGAUUAGGACUUUCACUUACUAAAAAUAUCAUUUUCAGACAAGACUUCGACCGACUAAAGAAAUGAUUUUUUUUUUCUUUUUUGGAAGGUGAAGCAAAAGUGAGUGAUGGUGGAAAAGAAACUAAUAAAUUCCAGGACGACCAAGACUUUGUACGUCUAUUGAUGGUGCACGGCUUUGGAUGGGAGGAAACAAAUUAUAAUAGAUUUUAAGAAGACCAAGACGUUUUGCACAUCUUUUAUGAUACACGUCUUUUUGUUGGAGGGAAGAAAACUAUGAUAGACGUGAGGAAGACCAAGACUUUAUGUCUUUCUUGCCAUUGCUAGUACAAUUUCCAAGCAUUACCAGUCUUGCUUAAAAUUCCUCCAACUCUUUUCAGGUUUAAACAUUUUAGGAUUUUUUCAUUCACUAAUCUUUAUUGUAUUUUUUUUCAAAUUGGAACCAAAAAAAAAAAAAAAAGCAAAGAAAAAGACUAAAAAGAAGAAACGGCACAAAGUUAAAAAGGAAAAUAAAAAAGGAAAGGGGGGAGACACAGCACCACCGAAGCAUGGCCACAUCCGUGAGGUUGCCGUUAGCACUGCCACUACGGCGGCUAUUUCCAACUUUUGACAUUGAAAUUAUCAAAACAUUUGUUCAGUUUAUGAUUGAGUUCCUAAACUUUUCUUUUUUAAUCAAGUACCUCAUUUUUUUUUUCAAAUUUGACUCAAUUUGAGGCAUUCGUUAAAUGAAUUGUCAUGUCAUAUAAUUUUGCUGAUAAGAUUCGCUUACCUUAUAGAUUGGGUGAUGCAGAAAGAAAAAGUGUUGACUUAGACGAUUGUAGUGUCUAAUAUACCUCAACCAAAUAUAUUUAGAUACUACAUGUUAAAGGGAUUGCAAUGGCUAUAUGUUAGGCCCAUUCGGAGACUAUAAACUUCUCAAUGUUGAUUUCAUUUAGACUUUCUGCAUUCACUUGAUCAUGAAGCAUUGCUCUUGCCCCAUUUUCUUGGUCAAUUCCAUUAUUUUUCCCUUUGAUCUAUUCACCCAAAGCUAGAAAAGUAUGUGCGGGCAGUUUGGCAAAAAUCAGAUCGAACUAGUCUGAACACUAGUUCACUCGCGAAACCAGCGAAACAUAUUAAUCUUCAAAAUUGGAUCCACCCAGGUUUAGAGUCUUGCGGGUACAGAACUGGGCUUUUGGCUGCUGUUGCAAAUGGAGGAACUCGAGCACUCAACUCCGCGGAUCACUGGCAUUUCACCUGGGCCGAAUGAAUCAUGGGUUCAAUCAACAACAUUACAUACCCAUAAUCAUUUGCUCAUGACAUCACCACAAGUUCACCCCUAGUCCAACCUCUUGGAUACCAAACUGGCAACCUAACUAGUUCUCUGACCAGCCCAAGUUUGAAAACAUUGAUGCAGAGCUUCAAUCCCUUCUUAAAACAAAUAGAUAUGACUAUAUGAAAUGCACACCAUACUUUUGCCAUGUGACGGAAGAUGAUAGCAAAGUGAUUAUAACCGAUAAACAUUGAUGCUCCUCGAUCUAAUGAGAUAUGGAAAACCUUCAUGGUGCUUCGAAUGGGGUUGAUGCUCAACCUCCACGGUACAUCACUCCUGUCGGUGCUCUGGUUGAAGUUGACAAAUGCUUGACCUUUCCCUUUAAAUUUUCGUAUUCAAUGGUAAGUCUUAAGAAAAGCAUGGCAUGCUUUCAAGAGGUCUUAGGACUUUGUCAGGCUUAAGUAAGAUCUGAUCGCUGCAAUCAAAACAAUGAAAUAUAUCAACCAUUGGAUUUUGUUAUAAAGCAAAAACCAGAAAAUGAUGCAAUGCAAUAUAUUUAGCUACACAGUGGCAGUUUGAUUUGUCACGUACAAUUUUGGAUAUCAUAGUUUUUAUGAGCUUGAGAAAAAAUCUAGUCGCAACAUGUGGAAGCAAAUUACUCGACAUCAUCUCCAGUGAGUUUGCUUAGAAUUUUCUUUUGAUAAGCAAAAGAAAUUUAUUGCACAAUGGCGUCAAGCAGAUGCUAGCCCACGUAACAAAUCAUAAAUGCAAUUCAUGCUAUGAGGUAUAAGAAAGAAUGCACAUUAGCAAUAUCAUUUUCACGCAACCAAAAGCUGUGGAGAGCCAUCUAUCAUUCAAAUUAAAAAAACCAGUCUUGCUAUUUUCAAAGGCUAUCCUAUUUCUUUCUUCAAAAUGAAAUAGUAAGCUAAUGAAAUGAAUCAACCAAAAAAAAAAAAAAAAAACAACAUAAACAAACAGUAAUAAAAACUACUUACUAUUUGAUGUUGGGUUCUAAAAUCCAACAAAAGGAAGUUCUCCAAUUGAACCCAAAAACAGGAGUGUGCCAUAGUUUCAUGGAGAUUUUGAACAGAAAUUACAAGACCUAUGGAAAGGCAAUCAGAUAGAAAGCAAAUGAAAGUAUUUUGCAAAAGGUAGUCUUAGAUAUUGUGGCCCUGAAUGUCCAUGCACAGUGAUGAACAAGGCAUUAUGCAGGGUGAGCUCGGAGGCUAUGUUAUCCAUGAUAGCUACUACCCAAUCAUCUCUUUGACCCAACAAUUGAGAUUCAAAUGCAAGGUGGCAAGUUCAUCUUCAGAGUAGAAUAUUGGUAUGGCAGCACUCAUUAAGUCGGAGCAAUAACUCAAAAUGAACUGGUCACCAUACAUGGACUGCUUCUGAUGUCCUUGCUGGCACCAAGGCGAGGAGUUGCCAAAAGCAUUAUUUGCACAUUCUUUCUGAAUCAUUGAUUUUAGGAGUUUAUGUGGUAAUGUUUAGGACUAGCGAGGAAUGAGAUGGAUCAAUCCGCUACUAGUUAACUUGGUUUAUAGAUGUACGCAGAGCUUGUCUAAUUAAAUCUGUACAAAAAUUUGAAACUUUUAACUUGUGAAGAAGACUGGAAAGCAAGUUAUCAUGACAACUCGAGUAAGAAGGUAUGACCUUAAAAUGAAUCAUGAGGCUUGUGUUCAUUGUCAAUGUCAUGUAUAUCCAUGAAGGAACUGUCUCGAACUGCAAUUUCAAUUCAUUGAUGGCUUCUAUUUGGUCAAGCUGCAUAGCGAUGCCUUCAUCCUCAAAGCUACCCUCUAGAAAAUCAUUAUCUUCCAUAUCCCAUAAGUCGUAAAAGUUUCUUUUUCUUACUCCCUCUAUAACCAAUAAGGCUUAGGACUUUUCCUUCCAAAUAACCGGUGGACAUUUCUGAAUCAACUCCGCACCUUCAUAAGCUCCUGUCAAGAACACACUAAACCUCUUCCCCCACUCAAAGACAUAGAGAAUGCCAAAAGCUUCAAUAGGAGUCUCAUCAGCUGCUGAGGCAUCACGAAUUUUCAUUAGAAGUGGGUGAUGUGGUCGGUUACCAACCUCUUUUCCAUUGUGAAGCUCAAUAACUCAUGCAUCACCGCAAUGGCCCUCUUAUUGAAUUCUUUUGAUCCUACUUGGAGGCCACAUGCAUCAGCAUAAGGAGAUAAGUAAGACCUUUUCUGAAAGUGAUCAAUCUUCCCUCGAUAUCUAUACACCUUCUUGUAACUGGCAGGAAACUUCAAGGGGAAAGAUAGGGAAAGCAACCCUGGAGUAUGUAAGGCAAAUUGUCAUACCCCCAAUAUGGGUUUCUCCAACUCUGCGAUAGCCCAAGCAGGAUUCCACUCUACGAGCUCGAUAUAAUCAAUUUCCCGUGGAGAUUUAACCACUUUGAAGCGCUGCGGAUACUCAUGUACCGACUCCUAAAAUCAACUGGCAAACCAAACUCUCUCCUAAAAUGAGCAAUUUUAUCCAUAGGAAGCCAUUUAUCGACCGAUAUCAUCAACAUCCUAGGCAUGUAUUCAACAGCCGUGCUAAAGUGUCCCCUAAUCAAUCUCUCCUCUUCCUCAAACAAGUCUUCAACUUCUUUAGUCAAUUCCAAACCACGAUACCCCCUUCUGAUCCUUAUACAACUCAAACACUUUUGGUGACUUCCCAAUAAAAUCCACUAUACCGUUUGGCUUGGGUAUAUAUCCAGCGACCUCACAGGGAUUAUCAUCUCGGUUUCCUUCUUCAACAUUUCCAUCAAAACCAACACCUUUGACACCACUAUAUGCUUCUCAGUGGCAAUUUCCGGAUCAUGGACCCUCUUGUCCUUGCUCCUAUCUUGCACUCUCUUGCUGGUGGUCAUGAAUCUAUGCUGCGACCAGUUAAAUAAAAUCUCACCAAAACUCCGAUUUCUUCUCAAGGUAGGCGAACACACUAGUGAGGUGACAAAGCAACCAAACCCUCUCGCCGCGCUCCAUUCAUUCGAGGAAGCUACGGUUUUACCAAUGAUUUGAAGACGGAUCAUGUCAAGAUGGAACACGCAAUUUCUACGGUUUUACCAAUGAUUUGCCGUUUUGGUUUUUGCGUUUCUAGUUGUGAGAGAGAUGAUAUUUUGAUUUAAAUAAUUAAAAGAGCUUGAGGGUCUUAUUAGGGGUGUGCAACGGGAACCGCCCGAACCGGGAACUGGCCGGACCGGACCGAACCGGUCGGUUUUGGGCGGUUCCCACGGUCGGCGGUCCGGUCCCCGGUUCCUAAUCUUGGAACCGGUGGCCGGUCGGUCCGGUUCCCGGUUUCAAGGUGGGAACCGGACUGAACCGGACCGACCGGACCGAACCAAACUUUUUUAUAUAUAAUUUAUAUACAUAGAAUUAAUAAAACAUAUAAACAUGAUAACUUAUUGCAACCAAAAUUGCAAUUUGAGGUAGCAACCUCUUAUGUGGCCAAGAGACCAUUAAAAUCCUUUUUAUUACUCUUUUAUUUAUAGAAAAAAUCUCGUUAAUAGUUUCGACGUGGGACUAAGACUUCAAGAGUUCCCGUGAAUCACACAAGUGAAGUUUGAAUAUUUUGCACGUGGAACACGUGUGAUUAGUUUUGUUGAAUUGCCCGAGAAUCGAAUUGAAUUGAUCAGUCAAGAGCGCGGUCACUCUUUAGUUCUUUAAUGCAAAAAAGUAUAGUUGAUUUUUUUGGACCGGACCGGACCGGACCGGACCGGAACCGAUGGAACCGAUGGUCCGGUCCGGUUCCUGGUCCUAGGACCAAACGGUCCGGUCCACGGUUCACAAUUUUGGGAACCGGUGCUCCCGGUCCGGUUCUCGGUUCCAAGGUGGAACCGGACCGAACUGGGAACCGAUCACCCCUAGGUCUUAUAAAUGGCAAGAUUCUUGUGUUUUUUAAUUAUAAAAUUGAGGCGUUUGAGAUUACAUCAAAAAUCCGAUUCAAAAUCAUAAUAAAGUUUAAUUAAAAAACUGAACCAUAUUGAAACUAAACAUUGUAUUUCGUAAUCGUGGACAGCUGAACGUCUUUUCUCAUUAUAUAUAUGUUUAAAACUUACGUAAAAGAACAAUUUUUUAAAGAAGAAUAUGAGGAAAAAUAUGUCAGAUUACUAAUAGUUCUAUAUUUUAAGUCUAAUUUGCCUAUUUUGUAGAUCAGACUCAUAAGGGUUCGUUAUUAAAUAAAAAUCAAAUUUUAGACAUUAAAUGUGCUCCAUGUCUGACAAAAGAAAACACAUGCUCCAUGUUCGUCGCCUUUAAUGAAUCAUCAAGUUACAAAUUUUAGGAUGUGUGCCAACCUAGGUGUAGUACAAUCAAACUAGUCACGAGCAAAUUCUUAGCAAGCCAUUUCAAACAACUCAAUUGUUCAUUGAUAUUUUCAUGAUUCUAUGAGUGAUAAGUGUGAAAUUUGAACAUAAUGCAAUUAAACCAAGUAUUGACCACAAUAUAGCUCGAUUCUUUUCCAUUUUUAAGAAUAACUUAAUUCAGUCCCAUUUAAGAAAAUUAUAAGCCGAACAGAAUUAAGAUGAAUAUAAAACCGAGCUUAAAAAAAAAAACUGAGUUAUUUAUUGCGAAAUAAAAAAAUAAAACCUCUUUUUUCUUUAAAAAAAAAAAGAAAAGAAAAAUAAGCCGAGAGGCAUUCUUCCCCGCUUCCCGCCUCUCUCUCUCUCUAUAUAUAUAAGAUUCCCUCCAAUUUCCGAUCGUUUCCAAAAUCCGCAGAAAAAUUCGAAAGUCUUUUCUCCUGGGCAGACGCAGCGAACUUCAUCGCCGAUCGUCAAACUCCGUCGCCGGAGAUGCUUUCGUCUCUCAACUGAGUUUCACGAUCUCCGCUUGAUUUCAGUUCAUGUCCUUUUCUGUGGCACGAUCACCGACGACGACGAUUCUGAGUUUCGUCUCGUGUUCGCUCGUUGAUGUUCAGAGCCGAAGAGCAGAAGAUCGUGGAACGAGAGGACGUCGACGACGAAGCAGAAGACCUGCUCGAAACGAUCGACAAACGUGAGUUACCGCAAACAGAGUAGGCAACUCCUCUCUGUUCAUCUGAUCGCUUUCGUAAUGAGUUUCGGUGAGUCCUUUGAUUCUGAGAUUGAUUAUCGUGAUUUUCUGAUCCGUGUUCCGAAAGUUAAAAUUAAGAUGCAAAUGGUUCGAUGAAGCUAUGGCCGUGAUUAUCAUGAUUUACAUCUCGACCUUUCUCUCGACACCUGUCGUGAUUUCCUGCACGUAGAAUAGUUUUUAGUUUUUGUCUUCUGAUCAUGCAAGAGCAAUGUUACGUGACAUUGGAAUUGCACCAUUGUAUUGGUGACAUAGCUGGAUUAAUAAGGAAUAUCCUAAGCUAAAUUCAUCAAUAAUCUCUGUUGGAAAGCUAGAUUGUCAUUGAUCAUCUAGGAAAUACUUUUGUCCUGACAUUCUACAUUCACCAGGAAACAUAAGAGUUUAACGCGAUGCUGAGUUGAGGAACGUAUUCUUAUUUGGCCAAGUGAAUUGCUUUUUCUUUGUUUAUUUUUUGUAGCACUUAACUGGAAUAAAAGGAUUAUCUGAGGCAAAAGUUGAAAAGAUAUGAGAUGGUGGCUCCAAUCAAUUUGAACUUCUAUAAGCAUCUCGCAUUGACUUCCCUUUGUUUUAUCAGAAUUUUGGCUAUAUUAUUGGAAGUGAUGCUCUGCUCAGAGUAAGUUCUUAAUUCUGCAAACUUUAAGCUAAAAUGGUUCAGAAUACCCUUGAAAUAAAGCCUGCAAAUUAGCAAAUCUGUUGCUCAAAGUACUUUCAAUGUCUUCGUUUUUUCCAAAGAGAGUCGUCGGUUGUUUGCAUCACAACUGGAAGCCCCCUCGAUGAGCUUUUAGGCGGCAAAAGACUUUCUUUUGUAGAUUCUGUGUCUUAUUCUUCAUGCAUUUCAACAAAUACAAAUUUCAUUGGUUUGGCAAUGUUAACAGGUGGUAUUGAAACUCCGGCAUUUACAGAAGCAUUUGGCGAAUCUGGGUGAAAAUCACAGUCCAACAACGUUACCUUUGAUGAACUUUUAGUUGCUUUUGUUAAUUAGCUUUCUCAGAAAAUGCUGCUGACGUCACUUCAAGUCUGGGAAAACACAGCUGGCAUAUACUCUAUGUGUUACUUCUCAGGUUGGACUUUUUUUACUUCCUUAGAGGAGAAGCCAAUGAAUUGUGUGAUUUGACUUUGUCUUGAACUUCUGUUGCAUUUUUUUUCUCAGAUGAACAAUGCCAAAUAGUAACAUAAUGAUUGAAUUUCUAUGGAGUAUAAAGAUGUGGGUGAUCUUGGCAUCAUAAUGUGUUAUAGGUGAUUCUGGAAGUAUGGCGCUCAUUUUCUGUAAUCUGCAGUCAGUAUACUGGAACAUAUAUAUAGUGGCUCAAACCAAGCAGGGAAAAGGCCAGAAGAGUUUGUACUAUGUCAUAACCGAGUAAAAGCCUUAAUCAUAGUCUGACUCAGACUUGGGUUGAUCAUUAGUUGAAUGUGAUGCUUGAAGAUACUCUAUUUUAUUUGCAAAUCCUACAACAGUAUUUACCCCUGUUUUCAAUCAUUCUUUAUUAAUGGUUUGUGGAUUCCAUGAUCGUAAAAUAUUUUCAGCUGCCAACUCACAUGAGAGGAGGAAAUGGCAAGGUAGCUUAUAUCGACGCGGUAGGAACUUUGUAUCCUAUUAUAAUCUGUCUGUAUUUUUCUUGACCUCGACAAAGCUACUUGUGUUUCACAAUCGUUGUCUGUCCAUGUAAGCGCAUGUGCACUUUCUUAACUUGGUACACCUGCAGUCGCGGUGAUUGAAUUGUACCAAUUGCCAAGAGAUUUGGCAUGGAUCCUGGUGCAGUCCUAGAUAAUGUAAGCUAAGCUUUCCCUAUUGGUGGCAACUCUUCCUUCUUUUCUGGCUAGGGUACUUGCUAUAAUCUAGUCUUUCCAUGAAUUUGUAGAUCAUUUAUGCCCGUGUCUAUACUUAGGAGCAUCAGUAAGAUUUGCUUCUUGAUUUGGCUGCUAAAAUGUGAAGAACCAUUUAGAUUACUAAUAAGACAGUGCUCGAGAAUGAAACUGCACACAUUUUGUGAGGUGUGGAUGGUUGACCUUAGGUGAGUAACAUCUUUCAGAUUAUGUAUUCGAUGACCCCUCUCUUUCAAAUGGGUAUUAUUGGAAGGGGAGAACUUGCAAAGAGCCAGGUCCAUUGUAACCGUCAAAUCAUGCGAGUUGUGAUUUUUGAGCUUAUCUUGUUUGGACACUAAUAAAUUCCGAAUUGCAGCAAAAAUUGCACAAGUGCUCUCAGGCUUAGUUAAGAUAGCUAAGGAAUUUAAUGUGGCAGUGUGCAUAACCAAUCAAGGUUUUGCAUCACAUCUCAUUUCUCCCGCAGUCAUGCAUUCAUUAAGACUUAUCCAAUUUAGCCCUUUGAUGGUUGCACACUGAAAAAUUGCAAUUUGGGGAUAGCACUAAGCUCAUGCUAAUUCUUGUAAAUCCCAAUAACCAGCUGUUUGGUGUAAACUAGUGACGCAUACAGUAGCUGCAGUCCAUUAUUUAAGGAAAAAGGGUAAUUUUUUGACUACUUAGAUUUAUUUGUUUCAGCAUCAAAGAAACCUGCAGGAGGGCAUGUUCUGGCUCAUGCAGCCACAAUUAGGUUGAUGCUUAGGAAAGGCAGAGCGGGUUUGCAAGGUGUUCAAAGCCCCAAACCUACCUAAAGCUGAAGCUAUAUCCUUUUUGUGCCGGACCUUCUUCUUGCCAUACACUUCAUUGAAAUCUACCAGAUUAUACUGCAGAGACCAAACAAAAUAUCUAGAAAUUUUUAUCAAUUGGAGAGAGUCAAUACUAAGUCUAUAUAUGGAUAGGCGGAGACCAGAAUUUGAACAGUAUACUUGCAGUGUACUUACAUGCGCAGCCUGUGCUAUGGAAACAAAAUACCCAACCAUUGGUGAUGCCAUACUGCAGAUCUUCCUCUAGUUAUAUACUUCGUUGAAAUUUAUCAGACCAUACUGCGGAGAUCAAGUGAAAGUCCGGAAGUCUAUAUCAAAAUCUGUGAGACAGUCUAUACUUAGUCAACAUAGGGAUAGGUGGAGACCUGAUUUAAGCAUGAUACUCACGGUAUACUUGAUGUUGCUUGGAGAUCCAUGAACACGUUGAAUACGAAUUUUGUGCGGAGGAAUUAAACAAAAAGAAGUGGAUAUCGGGAAUUUUCCUCUGUAGGAUUGGCAUAUUAUUAUUAGCUGUGCUGUUACGUAGAUGAUGCACAUCUAUCCAGACCAUCACUCAAUUUUGUCAGAAAAUUUAGCAGGAGCUCAUCUGAUGAUAAGAUGAGACUGAAAUUUAUUCCAUCCAUGUUGAACUUGACGAACACACGUUUUUCAGAUGACACCAGGAGGCAUUGCUGAUGCUAAGGACCGAAGAAGUCUCUCCAACCAGGAAGGCAGGCGAAAUGCUUUUUUUUUUUUGGUUAAUCUGCAAUUUGUAGUUAGUCAUCGUAUUGACAGCUAGAGGCAUAUAAUGAGCUCCCAAGCCCUUGUUCAUUUCCUUUCUCUGCAAUGGACACUUUGUCACCCUUGUCAUAGCUUGUCCCUAAGUUUCAUGUGCUUGACAACAAACCAUUCAUGAAUGACAUGAGAUACUUUCUCUAACUGUGAUGGUGACCCAAAAGAUUUGUCAACUACAAUGUCACCUUUGUGUAUCAAAUGCAAAAUAUAUCAUAAGGGUAAGGCCGAAGUAUCCUUUCUGCUUCUAUUUAUGUUUAGCCAAUUGAAUGCAAAUAAUAUAGCCUUAUAUGCUCUUAGGAACUUAAUCGAGCAUGGCAUGUAAUUGAAAGGUCAUAGGACUUCAUAAGAGAUGUAACCAAAAGAAAAUUAUUCAGUGUAAUUUGGAAUAACCUCAAAUGAAAUUAAAUUUAUCAAUUACCGUGUUUUGUCAUAAAGAAAAAAAAACAUAAAAUUAUCCAGUGGAAUAUGUUUUUUAACUACACAUAAUAGUAGAUGGGUUUAAGGUCGAUAGUUUGUGGAUAUCAUGGUUUUUAUGAGCCCGAGAAGAAAUCUAGUCACAAUAUUUGAAAGCUAAUUACCCAACAUCAUCUCCAUUGAGUUUGCAAUAAUUUUCUUUUGAUAAUUAAAAAAACUUCGUUGAACUUUCUUACACCAGAGCAAUCUGGCUUUUGUUUAUGUUACACGACAUUCAUAUCGCACCAUUGCAGUAGCUGCAGUCCUUGAGUUAAGGAAAAAGAUGAUUUUUGAUGACUUUGUCUUUGAUUUAUUUAUUUCAGUCGUAGAUGAUCUAGGCGGUGCUGUGUUCAUAUAAGACCCAAAGAAACCUGUGGGUGGGGAUGUUCUGGCUCAUUAAGCCACAUUUAGGUUGAUAUUUAGGAGAGGCAAAGGUGAGCAGCGCGUCUGCAAGGUGUUUAAGGCCCCAGACCUACCGAAAGCUGAAGCUAAGUGGAUCCUGAGUCUACAUAUAGAUAGGUGGAGACCUGAUUUAAGCACGGUGCUCACAGUAUACUUGAUGGUGUAUGGAGAUCCAUGAACACGUUGAAUACAAAUUUUGUUCAGAGUAAUUAAACAAAAAGAAGUGGAUAUCCAUAAUUUUUUUAAGCAGGACUAGUAGGUUAGUUGUGCAGCCUAUGCUAUGUAGACUGCACAUCUAUCAAAACCAUCACUUACUUAUGUAAGAAAUUUUAGCCAGAGCUCAUUUGUCAAUAGGGUGAGAUCGACAAACGCACGUUUUUCAAAUAACAACAGGGGCAUAGCCGAUGAGGACUAAAGAGGUCUCUCCUACCAAGAUGGCCAGGCGAAGUGUCUUUUUUUUUGGGUUAAUUUGCAGUUUGAUUUUAGUCAUCGUAUUGAUAGCUACCUCUUAUCUUCAUGUUAAGUUUGUAUCGGCAGGCAUCAAGCUCCUUUUGACAGCUUUAAAAUUGCACGAGAGGUUACCGCUUUAGCCUUAAUAUCUAACAUGCUACCAUCGUCUGUUAUUAAAGUUCACAUGACCCUUCACAAGGUGUUGUGUAAACUUGAUUUCUAUAUGAGAACCAGCACGCUCCAACUUAUAUUGGUUCACAUUUGUUCUCAUAUGACAAUAUCGUCGUGGUUUAAUUUACUAGUAGAGAUUCUAUGAGGAAAACAUUACAUUGGAUAGACUUUGCAUGACGGCUAAAUGAAAUGCCAGAAAGAUAUCACUGCACAAAGCAUGAUCAGGUUCUGUAAAGGCUGGUUUUAUAAGUACAUAUACAGCUGCAUAAAAACGAUGUCAUCUCAAACUCUCAAUAUAGAGCAACAGACCAUUAGAGCUGAAAAAAUUGUCAAUGUAUGAGAAAGGGUGACUGGGUCAUAAGCAACAAUGCAUAUGACUUGGCAGUGCAAGGACAAGUUCGCAGCACUCCCAACUCUAGGCAUACUGGACUCCUUAGUCUCUGCAUCACUUCAAAUGUAGCGCUUUGUACUCAGCCCGAGCUAUUCACCCUAGGAACUGGCUUCACCUCAUUCAGUGCAUGCUCGCAACUCCUCAAACAUUUAGAGUUGGUAAAGAAGCAUCCUGAGUUGGAAAAGAAGGCAACAUUAACAGGUGAACGAUUUGGCACUCAAAAAUCAUUGGAAGAGCAACAUUGGAGGUGAAAAGGCACAUUUCAAUACAUGGAUACAGGUAAAGAACGCCAUUUUAACCUUACAUUAUAAAUUUAUGUUCGAAACCAAUUUUUCCAAAAUGCUGUUACUCAACAACAUAACAUUCUCCUCUGAACUCUGCUUAAUAUCAGCAGAGCAUCCAUCCUUACUUUUCACAUUGCAAUGCACGGACCAAAUUCUAGUGGAGCCGCAUCAACAAACCGAAAAAAUAAUUACCUUUAGGGAAUGGUGCUAAAGACUUCCCAAAGCCCAUCUUCACAACUUCUGCAUCAUCUGAGCGAACAAGACUGCCUCCAGAAUCAAUUCCCCAGAAGGAAGGAAAACUGCCAUAACAUCCUGAAUGAUUCAGAGGACAGAAAGGAUUAGAUAUAGAUCACAGGUGGAGGGAGCGAUAUCCCAGAACAAAACCAAUGAACAUUAUCGUUACUCACACAGGCCAGAAAAGGGGUUUUAGAAGAGCUGUUGAAGAGCACAAAACCAAACUUCCUGCUGAUGUCUCUCACGACUUGAUCAGCAGGGUAGGCCUCCGAUCCCUCAGAGUUCAAUAAGCUUCUACAAAGAUAAUGACCUCAUUAGCGGUUUUAUUCCAUCCAUAUUGCUGCUUAAGAGAGCAACAUUGCCUGUGUCCUUGGAACAAGCAACUGCAAACAAUCUGUCACAGAGGGUAAGGCAUGUCAAAUCUCGAUGUGGGACGAGUUGAUUGAGAAGAGAAGACAGUACGGCAAUUUCCGUCAAUUAACAAUCCAAUAAAUUUCAUUUUCUGGCUUUCAAAAUGAACCAGAGACUUGAGUUCCAUUAUCUCCUUUAGGCUGACAAAUGGAACCUUUCAUAUCACAGUGAAGUCCAACAAAAAUCAGUUUGAUCUAACCGUUGCCUCUCUAAACAAUGAAAUCAUGAUUAUUUUUUCUUUUUUGGUGGUUAAAGCUACCUUUAUCAAGAGAUGGAGUGGGAAUUUAAAUAGAAGAAAGAUAAACUUUAUUCUUUGACCAGGUAAUGUUUUUAAAUGGGUUUCGGCCUACAUAGUUCAUUCAAAAUUUAGCUGUUUCAUUCACAUACUCUGUUUUAAAUUUAUCCUUCCAUCUAUACAAUAACUGUUAUGGGAAGAAAGAGAGCUUCUUAUUUUGAAUAUUGACCUGAAAAUGCUAAAAGGAUAUUAUCUAACCAAUUCACAUACAGAAAUUUACAUUGUAUUUUGUGGCUCCUACAAUAUAGUCACUAAAAGCAAUUCUGUACUUAGAGUCAAAAGUACAACUUUUUAACCUAUUGCCGAAUGAUACUGCAUAUUCAAUGUUAAAAACUUAAGACUCAUCCUUCCAUGAGCCCCAAUCAAAAUGACAAACGAGGGCCACUGUUACUGUGAGUACAUCCUGUAUAUCAGCAGCAAUCCUCUCUUCAUCCUUUUUGGCUUUCUCUAUGUAACAAAGCCUCAUUUUAUGUUUUAUAAGGUAAUGUGAUGUGAUCCCAUUGAACCCCUCUUGGUUGAUGACAAGAACUAAACUCACCUGAUUCGACGAGGACUGAAAUAUCUUAUUAUGAUCCUGGAAAUUCCCACAGAAAGGCGCCACCUUGCCUUGAGAAACCACCCGAAGCUUGUCCAUGCUUCCAGAUAUUGGAUGCUCAUCGUCACUAACCUGCAGAUCAAGGUGAAAAGAUGUAAAGACAAUCCAUCAUUGGUCAAAUUGAAGUAUUCUGGCAAAAUAAUCAAUCUCACCAUCAGACACCUUUCUUGGAACAAGACCAGCCCUCGAAUGAGCGCCUCAACCGCAUCCAAAUCCUGCAGUUUAGGAUAGUAAAAAACACAGAAUCAUACUCAUCAAUCCUUAGACAAGAAACUAGCAAUUUACAAAGAUAAAACUUUAGUAGUCAUAGGUCAUCAAAGUAGAACUUAAAGUCCACAUUUAUAAACAAAGAAAUUUCCACAUUAAUUAUGUGCAAAACCCAAUGCUGCCUAUAGGAUAUUGGAACUACUUGGUUUACAGAUUAGCGCAAUACAAAAAACACUGAUCAUGCUAGCAUACAUGUUCGAUUCCCAAUAUUUUGCCAGUUGGAACAAUUAGAUUGAUUCUGUUACAUUAUAAGUUAGAUGUAAGAUGGCAGAGGCUGCCUGUCGUGAUCACUAAUUGGUUCCAUUGUAUUUUCAAUGCAAAGACCAGAUUCCUAUAAGUUCAAAUAGUGCAAGAACAAUAUAACAAGCUAACUGAAAAAGUCAUCGAAGUCACAAAAUGGAGAAAAAUGAGUAAAACUUACCAGAUGAUCGGAUGGCUCGCAAGCAAAACUACGUGAGGUUUCUCAAAAGUUAUCUUGGCAAACGCAACACUGCUUUUCUGACCACCUAUUUAUAUGGGCAAAGAACCAUGUUAUAUGUGCAAUAACAUUCAAAAAGCCUCAGAGAAAGAAAACAGUGAACCGCAAUUUAGAUUACAAAUUAACUCACCUCUAAAAGAGCUUCACAAUCUCACACAAAAAUUGCUUCAAUAAAAAAUUUACAUAUGCGACAGUAACAGAGAGGGAGGAGGUGUAUCAGACAAAGUUUGCAUUCGUCGAACUGCAAAAUUUCCAGUUACACCAAACAAACACAAGUAAGCUUGAAACUUUUGUUCUGGAACUCCCCACACGAAAAAUGCCACAUAAGAAGGUAUUUUCAGAUAAAAUAACAUAAUGUAAGACAAAAUAAUAUUCCACAGUAGAGUAAAUGCACACGACUGAUACUUUAAAGAACUAAAUAGAUUUGCCCCAGAGGUCACUGCUGACAACACAAUCACAGAAGCAGGUAGCAUAUCAUUUCAAUCUCAACCAAACAAGCAUAAGUAAAUCGGCUAAAAAUUUCUUGCAAGCUUUUAGUAACAGUUCCUAAUCCACCAGAGAUCAAGACCCAAGCAGAAGGUGAUUUAUGGAAUAUCAAUGCUGUCAUGAAUUGGCGUGGCAUUGAAAGGUCGAAGCCAUGAGGUGCCCCAGAAUUUUAUCCCAGAUUGACUGGUUAAUACUACGAAGGAUCAUCUUCAACAAAAAGAAGGUUCUC